UGGGUCGGCUCAGUGGUUAGAGCGUAGGUCUCGUAACCGAAAGGUUGCGGGAUCGAAUCCCGCUAGAGGCUGAA
rnacentral:tRNA from 1 species